UAGGGAAUCUUCCACAAUGGACGCAAGUCUGAUGGAGCAACGCCGCGUGAGUGAAGAAGGCUUUCGGGUCGUAAAACUCUGUUAUUGAAGAAGAACGUGUGUGACAGUAACUGGUCAUGCAGUGACGGUAUUCAAUCAGAAAGUCACGGCUAACUACGUGCCAGCAGCCGCGGUAAUACGUAGGUGGCAAGCGUUAUCCGGAUUUAUUGGGCGUAAAGCGAGUGCAGGCGGUCUUUUAAGUCUGAUGUGAAAGCCUUCGGCUUAACCGAAGAAGGGCAUCGGAAACUGGGAGACUUGAGUGCAGAAGAGGAGAGUGGAACUCCAUGUGUAGCGGUGAAAUGCGUAGAUAUAUGGAAGAACACCAGUGGCGAAGGCGGCUCUCUGGUCUGUAACUGACGCUGAGGCUCGAAAGCGUGGGUAGCAAACAGGAUUAGAUACCCUGGU
rnacentral:rRNA from 1 species